UACGUAGGGGGCAAGCGUUGUCCGGAUUUACUGGGCGUAAAGAGCGUGUAGGCGGCCACGCAGGUCCGUUGUGAAAACUGGAGGCUCAACCUCCAGCUGUCGACGGAAACCGUAUGGCUAGAGUCCGGAAGAGGAGAGUGGAAUUCCUGGUGUAGCGGUGAAAUGCGCAGAUAUCAGGAGGAACACCGGUGGCGAAGGCGGAUCUCUGGGCCUGUCCUGACGCUGAGGAGCGAAAGCGUGGGGAGCGAACAGG
rnacentral:rRNA from 1 species